rnacentral:rRNA from 1 species
UACGGAGGGGGCUAGCGUUGUUCGGAAUUACUGGGCGUAAAGCGCGCGUAGGCGGACCUGCAAGUCGGGGGUGAAAGCCCGAGGCUCAACCUCGGAACUGCCUCCGAUACUGCGGGUCUCGAGUCCGGGAGAGGUGAGUGGAAUUCCUAGUGUAGAGGUGAAAUUCGUAGAUAUUUAGGAAGAACACCAGUGGCGAAAGGCGGCUCACUGGCCCGGUACUGACGCUGAGGCGCGAAAGCGUGGGGGAGCAAACAGG